AACGCUAGCUACAGGCUUAACACAUGCAAGUCGAGGGGCAGCACGGUGCAGCAAUGCAUGGGUGGCGACCGGCGCACGGGUGAGUAACACGUAUCCAACCUGUCCCAUACUCGGGGAUAGCCUUUCGAAAGAAAGAUUAAUACCCGAUAGUAUUAUAACGAGGCAUCUCAUUAUAAUUAAAGAACUUCGGUAUGGGGUGGGGAUGCGUUCCAUUAGCUUGUUGGCGGGGUAACGGCCCACCAAGGCAACGAUGGAUAGGGGUUCUGAGAGGAAGGUCCCCCACAUUGGAACUGAGACACGGUCCAAACUCCUACGGGAGGCAGCAGUGAGGAAUAUUGGUCAAUGGACGAGAGUCUGAACCAGCCAAGUAGCGUGAAGGAAGACUGCCCUAUGGGUUGUAAACUUCUUUUAUAAGGGGAUAAAGUGCAUCACGUGUGGUGUUUUGUAUGUACCUUAUGAAUAAGGAUCGGCUAACUCCGUGCCAGCAGCCGCGGUAAUACGGAGGAUCCGAGCGUUAUCCGGAUUUAUUGGGUUUAAAGGGAGCGUAGGCGGCAGGUUAAGUCAGUUGUGAAAGUUUGCGGCUCAACCGUAAAAUUGCAGUUGAUACUGGCCUGCUUGAGUGCGGCAGAGGCAGGCGGAAUUUGUGGUGUAGCGGUGAAAUGCUUAGAUAUCACGAAGAACUCCGAUUG
rnacentral:rRNA from 1 species